GGGCAGGCAUCUAAACAUGAACGCCCUCUGUUUUCUGUGUCCUAACACACCCAUGGGUUUGCCGGGAAGUUAUAAUGAGGAACACAUCCUCUUCAACAGGAUGAAGUGAGACUUUAUCCAUAAUUCAGUCAGAAUUAGUGCUCAAACUGUUCUUGUAAAGAUGCUCAGAUGCCGGUUGAAAGUGAGAAAGACAGGCACAAACAUGAGGAAGCUCUGAUCUCUCUAGGCUCAGUAAAAGUAUAUUUGACCCAGAGUAGACUCUAAUUAACAAGUAAUUUUAUGCUGUGAGGUGUCAUGAUGCCUGCAAACCAACACCCAAAUUAAUGAUAUGAAUCCUCAGAUUAAAUACCAACAUAAAACAAAACAUAAAGAAGGUGCAACCUGCUUUAUUAUCCUCUACCUCAUAGCACUGCCUCAUCAUUUUCUCCAACAGCGAGUGCUUUUUAAGGACAAUUUUAAGCCAAGUUUCCACUCCUCAAACAUAUUGGUAUGACCUUUGAAAAAAAGUGGCCUUGAUUCACUUCACAUUUUUUAUAAGCAUCCGUUUCUUGCUGUCAUCACAGGGCUUUUCUUACAGUCAGUGUUGACUCAGUAUAUCUGACUCUGGGCAGCUUAGUCAUCUCCCUUCUCUGCGUGUUUCCCCUGUGGAUAGCUUCAUCUGUGGGACUGCUCUGUAAAUCAGAGUCACUGCCUCUGAAUGCGGGCAAAGUAUCCACCAUCCUCGUAUGAAAUCGUGCAGAGGAGAUGACGGUGUGAGAAGGAAAUACCUCUGUCCUAACUCCUUCCUGGAAUACUUAUUGAAGGUGUGCCAGAUGUACAGUGUCAUGCUUGGCCAAAUUUGAUCUUUUAUGUCUCUAAGAAUAUUUCAGCUAAAAAUGUACAAAAUUGGCAUUACUCAUGAGGGUUGUAAAUCACCAGUUAAUUCAUAUAACAUCAAUUUCCUUUGGCAUUACAAUAUGAUAUGAUAGGCUGCCAUGAAACAAUUGUGACUCAACUUGAUUUAGAGGCCAUCUAAGGAAGUAAAGUUUGGAAUAUUAGAGAAACUCCACUUGUGAUUUCUAGUCUUUUGUACUUUGCAUAAAAGCAUGUUUUCUAUUUGCUUCAAAUUGAAGAUGUCUUCUUGUAAAACCUAAUAUAAAUAUAAAAGCCAAAAAAUCAACUCUGUAAGAAAUGACACAUGACAGCAGUAAAGAAAGUAAAUCUAAUAAGUACAAACGUGCAAUAAUGAAGUUCCUUUCACACCAGGACCGUUUUUUAUGUGCAAUUAUUUCGGACAUCAAAAUAUUUUUUUGAACCCGUAUCCUGUCAAUACAAGGCUUCACAUCAGCGACGUUUUCUCGUCCUGCGAUAUUGCAGCAUUUUUUUUUCCGAUCUUGGUUGAUUUUUUUAAAGUUUCGCAUACUGUGUCCACUUCUGACCAACCAGAUUGCGUGUUAUUGCGACGUCUGAUUCACCGGUAUAUCCAAUAUGGCCAACUGUCUGUUUGUUUACAUGUCAGAGAACAGAGUGCUUUUCGAUAAAAGACACAAACAUUACAAAGAUAACGAUCUGAAGGACAACUUGUGGAGAGUCAUAGCGUUGGAUCUCUCAUAUGACGAUGGUUUGUGUGCUUUAACAGUUUGCUAAAUGUCUUUGUUUUAACUUUCAUCAGUGCUAAGUAACUUUAGCCCGUAAGCUAACCUGUUCAGAUACAACAAAACAUAUGUAUUUUCACUGUCUCAAACUCAAUCACAGCGUUGCUGUCACAGCACUGUUAGGUCUCAGUUGUGACGCACAACUGACGCAUCCAGAAAGUCACAAAAUCGCAUCAGGCUUGAUGUGUAUAGUCAGGCGGAUCAAAAUUCUCCUCAGAAUAUUUCGUAAUUUCACGUUCUAUAUUUUCGUCGGCCGCGGCGUGUAAGGAAGGACCUUAAGAAGGCAAAUGUGCAAAAGUAAAAGCUGAUGUAUUAUGGAGGACAUUAGGGUAAUGUUUCAAAGUCACAAUGCUACCAAAUAUAAAGCUGCUUCUCAUCCUGGAGGUGCAGGCACAUAGGACCCUGUAGUCGUUGGCAUUUAUAACAUGGAUUGUUUAAAAUGGCUUUCAAGUGUUAAAAUGAAUUAAGUUCUCCAUUCAGACUCCAAAGUGUUCACUCUGAAAAUUUCAGCCAAGUGCAGUGCUCUACCUCGGUAGUGUACUUUCAACAAUCCAAAGCUUGAGUGUGGAGCUUGGGACACUUCUUAACCUGUGUUGUUGCCAGCUUGGAUAUGUAACAAAAGAGUCAAACACCUUGUUGGUGCAAGUAGUCAGUGAUUUUCCAAUUUGUAUUUCAUUUAGAACAAUCAGUCAAAACUAUUUUUAUUGAUUAAUAUAGCUAAGUGGAAGGCAACAAGCAGUUUGAAAUUUGACAGCUCCAAUCACUGUCAAUUGUUGGCAAUUUACCACCUGAUUGCAUACAGCAAUUAUUUCUGAUAAGAGCACAUCUGCCGUAUUUGAUAUGAGAUUGCAUCACAUUACUACAAAGCAUAAACAAUAAGCUGUACCAACAGUCAAAUCAGAGUUAAGACAUGGGAUAGAUCUCAAAUUCAAAGCUCUUCUGAAAAUGUCCUGUCUUCUCCUGAAAAUGUUUGGACAUUACCCAAAUCAACGGCGCAUGAGCAGGCAAAUGUCUGAAUUAGUUAACCUGGACUGCAGUCUGAGUUUUUCUAGGUAGCCCCCUUAGUACACUGUCUGAGCCAAUGUAUGAACACAGCAGGGGGUUCACAGUAGAGGUUGGAAUCACCAGUGACCCCACGAUAUGAUAUUAUCAUGAUACUUGGGCCACGAUACGAUAUUAUUGUGAUUUUUAAUAUUUAGCAAUACACUGAGUAUUGCGAUACAGUAUAUUGCGAUUUAUGUAAUUUUUCAACUGUUUAGCUAAUUCAGCAUUUGUCUUUCCUUUAUGUUUGUCUUAUUUACACUGUAUUUUAUUUUCAUGUAGUACAUCCUGCAAACCUUAGAUAUAUUAGUUGUACUAACUUUCUCCUGCUCUAUGGUGUCACCUCUGCCAACCUCAUUAAACAAGCAGUUAAUUUUAUUUUUCUAUUAUCAUAGAUUUGACUUCAUAUUAGCAAUUAAUUAAAAAAUUGAUAUUUGGUAAAUGAGGUAAUACGAUAUAUCACCAGACAAAAUAUCACAAUACUAUGAUGUAUCAAUUUUUUUCUCCCACCCCUAGUUCACAGCAAGGUACUGGGUACUUAAAUGUCUUUAAUUUCACUUUAAGUUGAGCUCUGUUGCACUUCACUGCUCACAUCAUUUGUCUGUGAGCAUUGUCUUGCGUGUCCUACUCAGGUUCCACCUAGUGCCUAAUCCGAACAAACAAACAAAAAAAUUUCAUUAAAUGAGAAUGUGUCUCGCAUAUGAAAACAACAACCGAAAUGUUUUCAUACUGAUGACGUGCACCAGGAAGCAGCAGACAAAGCUGCUAGUGAGUUCUUGGAUUAAAUGCAAGUAAACUUCCACACACAAUAGCAUUUUUAUUUGCAAGGCCAUCUGGGCGAAGACUGCCAGUCUCCAUUGAACAAAAGGCUACAGGCUGUUUUCUUUGCAUGUCUUCCGGCAGUCUUUAGGCGGACUUGUGGGGUCGUCUCUGCCAGAAAUAUGUAUUUAGCUUCAGUACAAGAGACAAAUGAAAGAGGAGUUGGCCUCCCAUUUAAAGUGCUGUAAAUUACCGUGAGGAUUGUGCUGGCUCCAUGCUGAACCUCGCCAAUUUCUCAUCUUCACAAACCCCCUCAUUUAAUGAUGGAGGAGGAUAGGCACAGUGUCAGCCUUGUAAUUACACUGUAUUUAGUACAGAAUGGACGCAUUAGAGGAGGACUUCCAGGUACUGCUUCAUAGUGUGACACUCUCUCAGUGAUGGGUUUUGUUUGCCUGGGAGGGUGACUGUGCAGUUCCUCGCCAAUAUUCACAAUAAAGCCUUGACUUAGUUUUUGUUGGGACUGGAAUCACUGGAAUCCUCUCAGCAUGCCAAACAGCAGCCGCACUCACUGUUCCAAAACAGCGGCCUUUUCUGCAGCUUGAACAAAUUUGGUGUCCCUCUGAGUAGACUUCUUCCUCUUGGGAAUUAUCAGGGCAGACUUUACUGUUAAUUGUUGCUGUGCCUGUGGUGCUGGGACAUUUUUUCUACAUAACUGUCAGCUUUGGGAAACUCAAAAUGAAGUGUCUUUUGCUUUUGUCUCUCACAUUACAGUAUUAGAUAUAAUCCUGUUACCUAAAAUAGGACUUGGGUUCUAGGGCUGCUAAGUAUACUGCAGUAGCAUUGUUAACACAUAAACUUAUGUUAUAUGAGAGUCCAUAAUCAGCAUGUUUUAUCCAAUUUCCUUGUGCCAUGCAGGCUUGGGGCAUUUUUGGAUAGAAUAACUGAAAACACCUCAAUUUGGUGCCAACACAAAAAAUAAUACAAUUUAAGGGCUUGGGUGAAAUAAGACCAUCUUAAAUGUUAAUCUACAAAAAAAAAACAAAAAAAAAACAGAAAAAACAUUAGAUCAGGAAAAGUAAGACAAGACAUUUUGAGUCCUUUGACUUGAAGAAUUGCCUUAUGCACAUGCAUUUAUGGGGUUAAAAAAUAGAAACAAGCAGGGGACUGAGGUCAAACUCAGAGACACUGUGUCAAGGAUAGAUUUUUUGUGGGGCACAUGCUCCAACUUGACUAAAUCAGGGUUCCCUGAGCCUCCAUCUCCAUGCAGCUGUCAGUCUAUACUAAUGCUAAUGCUAGUCUAAUGCUCCAACACCAAAAAUACAGAGCUGCUACAAUUUUUUAGUGUGUGUGUGUGAUAUCAUGCUACUUUUAAGCAUGAGUUAUUCAUAGUGCAAGACUCAAGAAUAGCCAAGGCAGAAAUUGGUUCCUUAAGAUAAAUCUAAGUACAGUAUGAAAUUAUAUGAUUAUGUUAUAAGAUAAUAGGGGUGGGAAAAAAAUGGAUUCAUGUAAGUAUCGCAAUUUUUUGGUUUACAAUUUUUAAAUUGAUUUUUAUGUUCAAAAACCUUUUUUUUUUCCAGAUUUAAGAAUAUAUCUUAAAAACUUACUUACAUGUGAUGUGUAUUUUUUGGGGAAAUAUGGUUCCUGGAAUAGUGAGAAAACAAUCAAAAUGGUUCAACUGUUUCACUAAUGUUAAAACUGCAGACUAAAAAUAGAGAAAAUUGACGAUAUAGUAGAAUCGCAAUUUAAAUCGAAUUGGCAUCCAAAAAGUCGUAGAUGAAUCGAAUUAGGAGAAAAACGUAUCAUCCCAGCCCUAUGAGAUAGGAUACAAAACAAUACAUUACAAUUAGGGCCCGACCGAUGUGUUUUUUUUUGGGCCCGAUGCCGAUUAUUAGGGGGGGCAUCCGAUUACCGAUUAAUCAGCCGAUUUUGUAAAUUUUUUGUGUCGUUAUUAAAUAUAUAUAUAUAUAUAUAUAUAUAUAUACUGUAGAUAUACUGUAGACUGCAGUUCUUCACGCUGACAGGAAGACCGACUGAUCAAACCCAGACCAGAAAAGUGUUUUCAACAACCCCCCUAUUCUCUGCAUUUAAUUUGUGAAAAUAUCGGCGAAAAUCUGCGAGUUUUGGACGAUUACCGAUUAGUCUCAAAGGGGCUAAAAUUGGCUGAUUCAAUCGGCUCGCCGAUAAAUCGGUCGCGCCUUAAUUACAAUAUAUAUAAUGGUACUAUAUAUUGAUUCAAUUUGGUACCAAUUUGGUUAAAUCUAACCAAGAAGUGGACAGGCUUGUCUUUUAUUGAAACCACAGCAUCAUGUAACUGCUACAAUUUUCUGCAUGGUCAGUUUUGAACCUCUGUAUGCUAACCCUCUAGAAAACAAUCACAAAACAAACAGACAGGGGGCUUGAAUACAACCAUGCAAAUAGAAACAGUCUGAAACUGGAUUGUCAGGAUGGAUGAGGUGAAAAGCAGCUGGGAUAUUUAUUGUUGGGUUUAAAGCUGUCUGAAGGAAUCCCUCGACUGUGAAUGAGCUAAAAUCAGAUUUGAGUUUGUUUACCAGAGAUGUUUCCAACCUGGGAGUGUAAUCCAGUCAAGCGUCAUGUGGAUGUUACAGCAGGUAUCAAGAAGGCCACUGAACAUCUGUCUGCUCAUUCAGGUGGGUUUUGUUCAGGGCAGAGAGACAGAGCAGGACUUUCAUUCCCUCUCUAUGGACCCCAAAGUAGUGUUAAGAUGAUCAGGUCUCUGACCUGCUAAUGUGAUGCUCAUACUCUGUCUGUGUCACUGACCAACCACAUCAUUGAGGGUCAGUGCAGACAAGUCCCCCUGCUGCUCCAGGGAAAUGGUUUUUCAAGUCUUAAAUCUCAUGUUUGACUGACAUUUGAUUCACAGGGAUACAUGUUUUCUUCAGGAACAAAUUUAAAGAUAAAUAUGCAAACUGCAGCGGGUCCUUUGACAGCUCAUAUUUUCCAUUUAGACAUAUCCAGAUUC